UGGACAGAUAUCGUGGGUCCUGCACGACCCAAGGAGUGUUUCAAAAAACAUGUUUUUUUCCCAUAAAUUAUCACCCAUGUCCAAUGCGGGUGUAAUCGACCUGCAGACGGUCUAGUAUACUGUCAGGUUUGAUGGUGAGCAGACGUCCCAGCCCCUCUCUUCAGUGCAUCCCUAUUUUCUGAGGAACCACUAGGGUCAAGGACGACCCACAUCUUAGUAGAAAGUCAUGGCUUCUAGGGCACGCAGAGGUCUGAGUACGGCCGAAAUCAAUGAAGUCAUUGCUCAAUAUGAAAGCGAUGAUUUUGAUGGCAGUUACGUUUCAUUUGGCUGACACGUAGCAGGGACAUCUUCCUGCCAUUGGCCACGUCAAGCUGCGCAAGCGUGUUCGCUGCCGAAGUUGCCCAUCUAGAGACGACCACAAGACGAACACAGCAUGUUUGCGAUGCAAACGGGCCUGUGUUCCUACAGCAUCAAACUGUCUUGUGUCCGAAGUGUGUGCCUCGUACGUAGGUAGCAAAUUUGGCCGUCGCACUUGUCGUGGGUGGGGCCCCAUUUACUGUACAUAUCCAUUAGGUAGCAAAUUUGGCCGUCACACUUGUCGUGGGUGGGGGCCCAUUUACUGUAUAUAUCAAUUAGAUUUUGACCUCUAUGGGUCCGACACCUUUUCUGGCUGUGGAGACUUGUAAAUUGUAGUUUUAGGAAGGAUUCCCUCAAUUUAUUUUCUUAUAUAGGUUAUUUUGUAUUUUUUAUAAAUAUUUUUGUAAAUUAUUUUUUGUUAUAUACUUAUUUUUUUUUAAUAUUUGUAAUAAAUAUCAAAUUUGUAGAUGGGUAUUAUUUAUCUCUUCAGUAAUAUAGUAUUAUCUUUAAACUAAUUUUAGAAACUAUAAUGUACAGCAAAAAUGAAGUUACUGAUUUUUGGCAAAAUUUUCUAGACGCUCGGGUCGAGGUUGACCCACAUUACAUUUAACGGGGUAGCGAAAUAGCG